CCCAGGAUCCGAACCGGCAAACCCCGGGCCACUGAAGCAGGACGUGUGACUUAACUGCUGUGCCACCAGGCCCAAUAACAUUUUCUGAGCACUUACUAUGGACUAGGCUCAGAGGAAGGUGAGGUCAGAUACUUCAUGUAUUUCCUCUUAAUCCUAUCAACAACUCUAUUACCCCAACUGUACAGAUGAGAAGACAGGCCUAGAAGUAAGGGGAACUUGCUCAAGCACACCCUCUUGGGAUCUCUGCACUUAAGCCUGACCCUUUCAUCAGACAGUGUCACACUCACCCUUGCUCUGUUCCUACGCUGGUGGGCAGUGUGUCACCCCCUCACCUUGUCUACCUCCAUUCUACCAAUCCUUUGAGGUUCAGCUUAAACAUCCCCUCCUUCAGGAGAACUGUCCUGACUCCUCACUGUGGCUCUGACCCUUUCUCUGAACGCCUUAAUUAGAUCCUGUGUAUCAAAGGUCACGCCUAAGCCCAGUGGUUAAGACAUGGUAGACACUCAAACUUCGCUUUGUUCCUACUUCCCUUCCUGACUGUCUUUAUGGUCAGAGGUGUGAAAUUUGCCACUCGAUUAUACACUGUCUUAUUUGUUUGUUGUUGUUCUAUAUGCAUUGGACUUGUUUCCUCAACUAGAUUAGCAGCUUAAGGAACAGUGCUUUAUAUUUAUAAAUUACAUAUGUUGAUAUAUGUAUAAGUUAUCUUUAUAUCUUUCAAUACUUGCUUGAUAAUUGUUUGAGUGGUUCUCAACUGCAGCAUGCAUCAGAAUUACCUGGAGGGCUUGCUAAAAUAGAUCACUGAGUCCCUCCCCCAGAGUUUUCUGAUUCAGCAGGCCCGGAAGGGGGCUGAGAACAUGCAUUUCUGACCCGUUCCCAGAAGGUACUGAUGCUGCUGGUCCAGGAGCCACACUUUGAGAAACAGUGGUUAGAAGUUUAACGUAUCACAGUGCUUAGGAGCAUGUAGGCUGAGUCUGAGUCCCACCGCUGCCACUCACGGGCUGUGUGAUCUUGGGCAUGUUAACCUAUUUGAGCUUGUUUCCUCAUCUGUGAAAAAUGAGGAUAAUAACAGUACGCACAUCAGAAUUGUUGUGAGGAUUAAAUGCAAUAAUGAAUGCAAUGUGCUUAGCACUAUCCUUGACACACUGAAAGGAUUCAGUAAAUGCUUCUAUUAUCCCUGGAAAGGCUGGCACAACAGCAGGCCUAAGUACGCACUGAACCCAGCCUCAGAAUUCCUUCUCAGGCUGAUAGAAAACUUCUUUUGAAUUUGUAAGCAGAGAGAGUGAAGGGUGUCACUGAAGCAUGACAUCUAUAAUUAACAGCUUUUGAAAUUAAGCCAGACUAUUAAAAAGCACAACAUAAAGGGCCUUUAGAAAUGCCCCCGCCUCUGCCCCCUGAGUAUGCUGGCUGUAAAUGCCCAGGUGGACAAAAAACAAGUGUAUUUUUAAAAUGCAGGGGCUGUCUUCGGGGUACCUCCUUCACAUCUUCCCCUGCUGAGGGAUGCUGAGGAUGGUAUCUUGGCCUCUGAGAGCUUGUUGUUGCUGGAGUCACUCAGGCAUCUGGGCUAAUGGGUUAGCAGACACAAGCAGAGCCCAUCAUUCAAUAAUUAAUUAGCUGCAGUCACGGGAAGACAAACUCCCUGGAGCAGUCAGGACAACCACCACCCUCCUCAAUUCUAGUUUCAAAGCACCCAGGCCCCUGCUGCUCCCUCCCAGCACCAAGAGCCUCUCCCCCCAAAGCAAGAUCUCUAUUUCCCCUCAGGGUCUAUCUGAGCAGAUACACUGGCUGACAUUCUCUUGAGAAAGCCCAAGAGGGAAUACACAGACAAGAGAAUUUUCAGACCUUGUCUUACAGUGCUCCAGGGCGAGAGGCAGGGGAUCCAGGGAUCCAUGGAUGGUGUGGCACUAACCUCGUCCCCGUAAUAUAGGAGACAAGGGUCAUGGCCCUUAUCUCUCUGUAAACCACUAAUCCCGGGAAUGUGGUGCGUUCAACGCAAAGUUGAAUGAGAUCAUUUCUGGGAGCAUUAGUAUGUAGCAGAGGCUGCCGGCUGGUUGUAGGGAGAAGCUGCUACCUUUGGAAGCCCCUCUCUUCCACUCCUCCCUUUCACAGAAGAGCACCACCACCUCCCCCCAUCCAGUGGUACCCUCCCCUAAUUCCCAGAAAAAGAACGACCCUCCGCCCCCCACCCCCAGCCCCGAAACACACACACGUACACCAUUUUUACUCCUACCCGCAAUUUCCUAAACAAAACCAUCACAGCCAAGUGGUGUCUCCACACACUCCGGUUGGGGUACCAUCCCUAGCGGCCCGGCGCAGGGGGUUCACUCCCAACGCCCUGGCCAGGCCCUGGCUCCAGCGUAAAGGCAGAGCGAGAAGGGGUGUGUGCACGGGAGGCUGGCGGGGAGCCGACCGCUCAGGAGGUGAGGAGAGGCUGCUGUCCCCGCACCUGGAGUCACCACCAGCUGCCAGAUGAAGACGAAGGCAAGAGGUUCCUCAAAGGGAAGAGCCACAAGGUGUCUGCCCUCUUCUCACCAUUGCUCGUUGCUCAGUCUCUCACUCUUUCCGUUCUCUCCCCUCCAUCCCUCUCCUCCCUCUUUGUCUGCUGCCUUCUCACCUCCGCCUUUUGGAACACCCUGCCUUCUGGAGCCCGGCUCGGACGCCGCAGCGGUUAGCUCCCCGGGGGACUCCGGCCCCGCGCCCCGGCCCGGCCCCCUCCCCUGCCCGACCCUCUCGGCUCCGGGUCUUACCCAGAAGAGCAGGUUGAAGCCGAGCAGCAGACAUGAUGACUAGAGCUGCAGAACAUUUUGUGACUGUGAGGAAAGGCCAAAAGAAUUGCAGACCUGCCAGCCAGGAGAUUGUUGAACUACCGAACCAAUGCCAGCGGCCACCUACCUCCAGAUUUCUUGUUAUGAAAGAAAAAUAGCCCUUGUUUUGUUUGACUUUUAUAUUUUGUUACUGUAGCUGAUGAUAUUUCUGACAUGGGAAGACAAUAAAUUCAUAUUUGGAUCUGUUGAGUUUUAGAUCUGAUGGAAAAUCCAGAUGGAGUGGUCCAGGAGACAGAUGGAAAUAUGAUUGGGAUUCUGGAGAGAGGUUCGGGCUGUAAGUUUAGGUUAAAGAUGCAUCAGUAAAUGGUGAUAAUAGAAACCAGUGGUCUUCAAACUUUUGCCCACACAUCCCCUAAAAGAAUUAUGAAAAAAUAUAUUCUCCCUUGCACAUUUUCCCCAAUAUUUUAUUGUGAAUAUUUUCAAAUGUAAAGUUGAAAUAAUUGAGCAGUGAACACCAUAUCGCACCACCUAGAUUCUACUAUAAACCUUUUGCUUUAGUUACAUUACUUAUCGCUACAUCUGUCCAUUUGUCAAUCGAUCUUAUUUUUUUAUGCAUUUCCAAAUAAAUUUUAGACAUCAACACAUUUCACCUCUAAACUCUUCAGCAUGCAUAACAUUAACUAGAGUUCAAAUAUUUGUUUAUAGUUUUUCUUUUUUUCUGAGAUAAAAUUUACCUCAAUGAAAUGUACACAUUUUAAGCAUACUGUUUAAUGAUUUUUGAGAAAUGCUUUUGCCUUUCUAGCCCCAAACCCAAUUAAGGUAUACAACAUUACUGUCACCCGAGAAAGUUCCUUUGUUCCCUUUCCCAGUCAAUCCAUGCCCCGACCUUCCUAGAGACAACCACUGUUCUGCUUUUUUUUCAGUAUAGAUUAAUUUCGUCUCUUCUAUAAUGUCAUAUAAAUGGAAUUGUACAGUAUUUACCCUCACACAUUUUUAAGUUGACAUACAAAAUCCUCUAUUAUAAAUUUGAACGUUUGCAAAAUAUGUCACUUCUGAUGUAUUUUAAAUAUUGACAUUUUAAAAGAAAAUUAUCACAUCACUCAUUUGAAUGCAUCCAGUAGAAACUAAGUGCCAGUGUGAUCUGCCACCCACCAUUAUUCAUUUAAAGAAAUACGUGGACAAGAUCCUCUUUAACAGGGUGAGAGUUUUACAUCUUUCCCUUUUCUCCGUGAGCUUGUAUUUCCAUUCCACUCUUCCCAUGAAAUGUAAUCCUAAAGUAACGUAUUUAUAUGCUUAAGAAAUUUUUCUUGAAUGUCCUUUUAUGCUUAUCUGAACAAAUAUUACUAUAUAUUUAUUAAAAUAAAUUACAUUUUUCCUCCUGA